rnacentral:rRNA from 1 species
UACGGAGGGGGCUAGCGUUGUUCGGAAUUACCGGGCGUAAAGCGCACGUAGGCGGCUUUGUAAGUUAGAGGUGAAAGCCCGGAGCUCAACUCCGGAAUUGCCUUUAAGACUGCAUCGCUCGAAUCAUGGAGAGGUGAGUGGAAUUCCGAGUGUAGAGGUGAAAUUCGUAGAUAUUCGGAAGAACACCAGUGGCGAAGGCGACUCACUGGACAUGUAUUGACGCUGAGGUGCGAAAGCGUGGGGAGCGAACAGG